UGGGGAAUUUUGGACAAUGGGCGAAAGCCUGAUCCAGCAAUGCCGCGUGUGUGAAGAAGGCCUUCGGGUUGUAAAGCACUUUUGUCCGGAAAGAAAUCCUUGGCUCUAAUACAGUCGGGGGAUGACGGUACCGGAAGAAUAAGCACCGGCUAACUACGUGCCAGCAGCCGCGGUAAUACGUAGGGUGCAAGCGUUAAUCGGAAUUACUGGGCGUAAAGCGUGCGCAGGCGGUUUGCUAAGACCGAUGUGAAAUCCCCGGGCUCAACCUGGGGAACUGCAUUUGGGUGACUGGCAGGCUAGAGUAUGGCAGAGGGGGGUAGAAUUCCACGUGUAGCAGUGAAAAUGCGUAGAGAUGUGGAGGAAUACCGAUGGCGAAGGCAGCCCCCUGGGGCCAAUACUGACGCUCAUGCACGAAAGCGUGGGGAGCAAACAGGAUUAGAUACCCUGGUAGUCCGCGCCCUAAACGAUGUCAACUAGUUGUUGGGGAUUCAUUUCCUAGUAACGUAGCUAACGCGUGAAGUUGACCGCCUGGGGAGUACGGUCGCAAGAUUAAAACUUAAAUGAAUUGACGGGGUCAUAGCUGUUUCCU
rnacentral:rRNA from 1 species